GGCACAGGCCUAGAGAGAGCUGUCGCAAAAGUUCCUGCUGAAUUCAGCAUUUGGACAAGAGAGGCUGGAGCAGGCGGUCUGUCCAUUGCUGUUGAGGGUCCAAGUAAGGCUGAAAUCUCCUUUGAAGACAGAAAAGAUGGAUCCUGUGGUGUUAUUUACAUUGUGCAGGAGCCAGGUGACUAUGAAGUUUCCAUCAAGUUCAAUAACGAGCAUAUCCCAGAUAGCCCCUUCAUUGUUCCUGUUGCUACAUUGUCUGAUGAUGCACGUCGACUUACUGUUACAAGUC